AUUGAACGCUGGCGGCAGGCUUAACACAUGCAAGUCGAGCGGGGACUUCGGUCCUAGCGGCGAACGGGUGAGGAAUGCUUGGGAAUCUGCCCAGUAGUGGGGGAUAACGUUUCGAAAGGAACGCUAAUACCGCAUACGUCCUACGGGAGAAAGGGGGGGAUCUUCGGACCUCUCGCUAUUGGAUGAGCCCAAGUCGGAUUAGCUAGUUGGUGGGGUAAAGGCCUACCAAGGCGACGAUCCGUAGCUGGUCUGAGAGGAUGAUCAGCCACACUGGAACUGAGACACGGUCCAGACUCCUACGGGAGGCAGCAGUGGGGAAUAUUGGACAAUGGGCGAAAGCCUGAUCCAGCCAUGCCGCGUGUGUGAAGAAGGCCUUCGGGUUGUAAAGCACUUUAAGUGGGGAGGAAUGGCUCUUGGUUAAUAACCUUGAGCAGUGACGUUACCCACAGAAUAAGCACCGGCUAACUCUGUGCCAGCAGCCGCGGUAAUAC
rnacentral:rRNA from 1 species